CCUACGGGUGGCAGCAGUGAGGAAUAUUGGUCAAUGGACGAGAGUCUGAACCAGCCAAGUAGCGUGAAGGAUGACUGCCCUAUGGGUUGUAACCUUCUUUUAUAAAGGAAUAAAACGAGGCACGUGUGCCUUUUUGCAUGUACUUUAUGAAUAAGGAUCGGCUAACUCCGUGCCAGCAGCCGCGGUAAUACGGAGGCUCCGAGUGUUAUCCGGAUGUAUUGGGUUUAAAGGGAGCGUAGAUGGGUUGUUAAGUCAGUUGUGAAAGUUUGCGGUUCAACCGUAAAAUUGCAAUUGAUACUGGCAGUCUUGAGUAUAGUUGAGGUAGGCGGAAUUCGUGGUGUAGCGGUGAAAUGCUUAGAUAUCACGAAGAACCCCGAUUGCGAAGGCAGCUUACUAAACUGUGACUGACAUUGAUGCUCGAAAGUGUGGGUAUCAAACAGGAUUAGAUACCCCUGUAGUC
rnacentral:rRNA from 1 species